AGUCUGCAACUCGACUCCAUGAAGUCGGAAUCGCUAGUAAUCGCGGAUCAGAAUGCCGCGGUGAAUACGUUCCCGGGCCUUGUACACACCGCCCGUCACACCAUGGGAAUUUGUUGCACCAGAAGUAGGUAGUCUAACCUUAGGGAGGACGCUUACCACGGUGUGGCCGA
rnacentral:rRNA from 1 species